UACGUAGGGUCCGAGCGUUGUCCGGAAUUAUUGGGCGUAAAGGGCUCGUAGGCGGUUUGUCGCGUCGGGAGUGAAAACCUACAGCUUAACUGUGGGCUUGCUUUCGAUACGGGCAGACUUGAGGCAUGCAGGGGAGAACGGAAUUCCCGGUGUAGCGGUGAAAUGCGUAGAUAUCGGGGAGGAACACCCUGUGGCGAAGGCGGCCCCCUGGUUGGAUACUGACGCUGAGACGCGAAGCGUGGGGAGCAAACAGG
rnacentral:rRNA from 1 species